UACGGAGGGUGCUAGCGUUGUUCGGAAUCACUGGGCGUAAAGGGCGUGUAGGCGGUCUGUUAAGUCUGAUGUGAAAUCCCCUCGCUCAACGAGGGAACUGCGUCGGAUACUGGCAGACUUGAGUACCGGAGAGGAAGGUGGAAUUCCCGGUGUAGCGGUGAAAUGCGUAGAUAUCGGAAGGAACAUCAGUGGCGAAGGCGACUUCCUGGACCAAUACUGACGCUCAGGUGCGAAAGCGUGGGGAGCAAACAGG
rnacentral:rRNA from 1 species